rnacentral:lncRNA from 1 species
UUUAGGUUGUCGACUUUAAAAAAUGAAAAUUGGGAGUCGCCACCAAUCUUUUAUUAAAGUGUGAUUGGGUCACCUAAAAACGACUUUGGUCUACGAAUUUUAGAAAAAUGGGUCCGAGAGUCGGUUACGUAUGAGGAAGGAUUAGCACCCUCAUAACGCCCAAAAAUUGGUACCUAGUUAAUUAAUUAAUGUCUUAAUGUCAAAAAUUUGAAAAAAUAUAAUCCUUAGCAAAAACUUAAAAAUGUUACGUAUUAAGACCCUCAUCAUUUCAGAGAAAGAAAAUGCCACACCCAAUGCGUUAGGGCACGACAUUCUAAUUUCUACAAAAAUGAAUUAGGCCAGAAUACUCGUGUAAUAAAAAUUUAAAAGAAUAUUCAUUUAUUCAAGAUUUAAGAAAUCGCGGCC